rfam:Enterococcus sp. 6C8_DIV0013 scaffold00001, whole genome shotgun sequence.
GAAUAUCUGUGAUGUACGUCGUACUCUCAUUAGUGUUGACCGAACAAUUAAUAUUACCUUGGGAAUUAACCAGUUAUUAACAGAAAACAUGCCCUAUCACUUGGUAGUUUGAAUUAAUACUAACGAUUCCCACCUGCAUGUAAAGCGGGUUCAACCAGACAGAGUACAUAACGGCAUCGACGGAUAUUUU